rnacentral:tRNA from 1 species
GCCUUCGUGGUGUAGUGGUCAGCACGCUUGACACGAAACCAAGAGGUCCGUGGUUCGAUUCCUGGCGAAGGCG